CCAAGAACAAUAUGUAUCAUUACCUAGGGACUGUUUUACUUACUAAAUAAGCAACAAUCUAAUUAUGACACUUAUAAAUAAACAAGCAACACUUUAAUUAUGACAGAAAACAACAAUGGAAAAUAAUUAACAAAACAAAAAAAAUAUCAAUCUCCAACACUCCUCCUUGAUAUUUCUCUUGAAAAAACUUCAAGCAUUGACCUCAUCUCU
rnacentral:lncRNA from 1 species